rnacentral:rRNA from 1 species
GACGAACGCUGGCGGCGUGCUUAACACAUGCAAGUCGAACGGAAAGGCCCUGCUUUUGUGGGGUGCUCGAGUGGCGAACGGGUGAGUAACACGUGAGUAACCUGCCCUUGACUUUGGGAUAACUUCAGGAAACUGGGGCUAAUACCGGAUAGGAGCUCCUGCUGCAUGGUGGGGGUUGGAAAGGUUCGGCGGUUGGGGAUGGACGCGCGGCUUAUGAGCUUGUUGGUGGGGUAGUGGCUGACCAAGGCUUAGCGGGGUAGCCGGCCUGAGAGGGUGACCGGCCACAUUGGGAUUGGGAUAGGGCCCGGACUCAUACGGGAGGCAGCAGUGGGGGAUAUUGCACAAUGGGCGGAAGCCUGAUGCAGCAACGCCGCGUGCGGGAUGACGGCCUUCGGGUUGUAAACCGCUUUCGCCUGUGACGAAGCGUGAGUGACGGUAAUGGGUAAAGAAGCACCGGCUAACUACGUG